AGUGAACGCUGGCGGUAGGCCUAACACAUGCAAGUCGAACGGCAGCACAGUAAGUGCUUGCUCUUACGGGUGGCGCGUGGCGGACGGGUGCGGAAUACAUCGGAAUCUACUUUUUCGUGGGGGCUAACGUAGGGAAACUUCCGCUAAUACCGCAUACGACCUACGGGUGAAAGCAGGGGAUCUUUGGACCUUGCGGGAUUGAUUGAGGCGGUGUCGGAUUAGUUAGUGGGCGGGGUAAAGGCGCACCAAGGCGACGAUCUGAAGCUGGUCUGAGGGCAUGAUCAGCCAGACUGGAAGUGAGAAACGUUCCAGACCUCUACGGUAGGCAGCAGUGGGGAAUAUUGGGCAAUGGGGGCAAGCCUAAUCCAGCCAUACCGCGUGGAGGAAGAAGGCGUUCGGGUGGGAAAGCCCUUUUGUUGGGAAAGAAAAACAGCAGUUUAAUACCCCGCUGUACUGACGGUACCCAGAGAAUAAGCACCGGCUAGCUUCGUG
rnacentral:rRNA from 1 species